rnacentral:rRNA from 1 species
GGAAGCCUUCGGGUGGAAUUAAAAUUGACUUAGCGGCGGACGGGUGAGUAACGCGUGGGUAACCUGCCUCAUACAGGGGGAUAACAGUUAGAAAUGACUGCUAAUACCGCAUAAGCGCACAGUGCUGCAUAGCACAGUGUGAAAAACUCCGGUGGUAUGAGAUGGACCCGCGUCUGAUUAGGUAGUUGGUGAGGUAACGGCCCACCAAGCCGACGAUCAGUAGCCGACCUGAGAGGGUGACCGGCCACAUUGGGACUGAGACACGGCCCAAACUCCUACGGGAGGCAGCAGUGGGGAAUAUUGGACAAUGGGGGAAACCCUGAUCCAGCGACGCCGCGUGACUGAAGAAGUAUUUCGGUAUGUAAAGGUCUAUCAGCAGGGAAGAAAAUGACGGUACCUGACUAAGAAGCCCCGGCUAACUACGUGCCAGCAGCCGCGGUAAUACGUAGGGGGCAAGCGUUAUCCGGAUUUACUGGGUGUAAAGGGAGCGUAGACGGCUCUGCAAGUCUGGAGUGAAAGCCCGGGGCUCAACCCCGGGACUGCUUUGGAAACUGUGGAGCUAGAGUGCAGGAGAGGUAAGUGGAAUUCCUAGUGUAGCGGUGAAAUGCGUAGAUAUUAGGAGGAACACCAGUGGCGAA